GAUGAGAACGUAGCGAAAUGCGAUAAGUAAUGCGAAUUGCAGAAUCCGUGAGUCAUCGAAUCUUUGAACGCACAUUGCGCCCGCCAGUAUUCUGGCGGGCAUGCCUGUUCGAGCGUCAUUACAACCCUCAGGCCCCCGGGCCUGGCGUUGGGGAUCGGCGGAGCCCCCCGUGGGCACACGCCGUCCCCCAAAUACAGUGGCGGUCCCGCCGCAGCUUCCAUCGCGUAGUAGCUAACACCUCGCGACUGGAGAGCGGCGCGGCCACGCCGUAAAACACCCAACUCUUCUGAAGUUGACCUCGAAUCAGGUAGGAAUACCCGCUGAACUUAAGCAUAUCAAUAAGCGGAGGA
rnacentral:misc_RNA from 1 species